rnacentral:tRNA from 1 species
ACCUGGCUAGCUUAGUUGGUAUAGUGUGUGACUCUUGCUCUUAGGGUUGUGAGUUCAAGCCCCAUGUUAGUUA